rnacentral:rRNA from 1 species
GGAACCUGCCUCAAAGAGGGGGACAACAGUUGGAAACGACUGCUAAUACCGCAUAAGCCCACGGGUCGGCAUCGACCAGAGGGAAAAGGAGCAAUCCGCUUUGAGAUGGCCUCGCGUCCGAUUAGCUAGUUGGUGAGGUAACGGCCCACCAAGGCGACGAUCGGUAGCCGGACUGAGAGGUUGAACGGCCACAUUGGGACUGAGACACGGCCCAGACUCCUACGGGAGGCAGCAGUGGGGAAUAUUGCACAAUGGGGGAAACCUUGAUGCAGCGACGCCGCGUGGAGGAAGAAGGUCUUCGGAUUGUAAACUCCUGUUGUUGAGGAAGAUAAUGACGGUACUCAACAAGGAAGUGACGGCUAACUACGUGCCAGCAGCCGCGGUAAAACGUAGGUCACAAGCGUUGUCCGGAAUUACUGGGUGUAAAGGGAGCGCAGGCGGGAAGACAAGUUGGAAGUGAAAUCUAUGGGCUCAACCCAUAAACUGCUUUCAAAACUGUUUUUCUUGAGUAGUGCAGAGGUAGGCGGAAUUCCCGGUGUAGCGGUGGAAUGCGUAGAUAUCGGGAGGAACACCAGUGGCGAAGGCGGCCUGCUGGACAUUAACUGACGCUGAGGCGCGAAAGCGUGGGGAGCAAACAGGAU